UCCGGCAUAGCUCAGUGGUAGAGCGCCCGGCUCUGGGUCCGGGUGGACGUAGGUUCGAGCCCUGCUGCCGGAU
rnacentral:tRNA from 2 species